CCUACGGGUGGCAGCAGUGGGGAAUAUUGGGCAAUGGACGCAAGCCUGACCCAGCAACGCCGCGUGAAGGAAGAAGGCUUUCGGGUUGUAAACUUCUUUUCUGGGGGAAGAGCAGAUGACGGUACCCCUUGAAUAAGCCACGGCUAACUACGUGCCAGCAGCCGCGGUAAUACGUAGGUGGCAAGCGUUGUCCGGAUUUAUUGGGUGUAAAGGGCGUGCAGGCGGAGAGACAAGUCAGAUGUGAAAACUACGGGCUCAACCCGUGGACUGCAUUUGAAACUGUUUCUCUUGAGUGUCGGAGAGGUAAUCGGAAUUCCGUGUGUAGCGGUGAAAUGCGUAGAUAUAAGGAAGAACACCAGUGGCGAAGGCGGAUUGCUGGACAGUAACUGACGGUGAGGCGCGAAAGCGUGGGGAGCAAACAGGAUUAGAUACCCCAGUAGUC
rnacentral:rRNA from 1 species